AACGCGACUGGCGCCGGUUUACCGGCAUGCCUGUUUCAGUGGGCUAGGAGAGUAAACUAUCAUUAUAUAAUAUAAUGCGAUUGAGGUACAUUUAUGUUCUUCUUUCGUUAAAUAUGAAGGUGUGAAAGAUGAGUAAUCUCUCACACUGGCAAACGAAGUAGUCAUGCUUGUUCGUGAUCUCGGUUAACCAGUGCUAAAGGUUAUUGCUUAGCUAUAAAUAACAUCUAAUCAAUUAACUAUCUCCAAAUUUGGCAUCUGAAAUCAGCCAAGGAUACCCGAUGAA
rnacentral:misc_RNA from 1 species